CGACCUCGGGGGUGCUGGAUGACGCACUGAACUUAAGCAUAUCAUUAAGUGCAGGAAAAGAAACCNAAUGGGAUUCCCC
rnacentral:rRNA from 1 species